CCUAAAACCCUCACCCCCUGGCAGCCCCCGGACCCAAACACUGCUGCCCUAGAACCCUCACCCCCAGAACCAAUCACUAGUGCCUUAGAACCCUCAAUAACUGACAGCACCCAGACCCCCUGGUUACUGGCACCCUGUCAAUUUACACACUCUAGGAGUCAACAGUCUGACCUUCACAGCCAGAUCAGACCCUGUUAGCCCUCUGACACCAGAAGUCAGCCUGCAGGCCUCCUAUCCCGAGCAGCCACCCUGCAGCCCCUGACAGAGGACCCUCACACGCUGACAGUCAGUAUGAAAGCUGGC